rnacentral:rRNA from 1 species
UACGUAGGGGGGCAAGCGUUGUCCGGAUUUAUUGGGCGUAAAGAGCGUGUAGGCGCCAGACAGGUCCGUUGUGAAAACUCGAGGCUCAACCUCGAGAUGUCGAUGGAAACCGUCUGGCUAGAGUCCGGAAGAGGAGUGUGGAAUUCCUGGUGUAGCGGUGAAAUGCGCAGAUAUCAGGAAGAACACCUAUGGCGAAGGCAGCACUCUGGGACGGUACUGAC